rnacentral:sRNA from 1 species
GCCCCAGUUCCCUGUCUGUGAGCCGAUUUCUCUGCCCAGGGUCGGCGCGCGCGGCUGUCUCAGAACUCAUGCAGCUGUUCCCGCGAGGCCUGUUUGAGGACGCGCUGCCGCCCAUCGUGCUGAGGAGCCAAGUGUACAGCCUCGUGCCUGACAGGACCGUGGCCGACCGGCAGCUGGUGAGGGGCGUCGGUGCGACCGCCGGAAGCCCCUUUCCUAACUCCUGGAAUUUACUGUCACACAGUCACUCCGCCAGCCGUUCAGCAAGCAUUAGGCCUUUCAGGCGAGGGCACUGUGCCAGGCACUGGGGUGCCACAGAGACCCUGUUAAAAGGCCCGCAGAAGGAGCUUCAAGAGCAGGGGGAGAUCAGAAUCGUCCAGCUGGGCUUCGACUUGGAUGCCCAUGGAAUUAUCUUCACUGAGGACUACAAGACCAGAGUCCUCAAAGCCUGUGAUGGCCGACCGUAUGCUGGGGCAGUGCAGAAAUUUCUAGCUUCAGUACUUCCAGCCUGUGGGGACCUUAGUUUCCAGCAGGACCAAAUGACACAGACCUUUGGCUUCAGGGACUCAGAAAUCACGCAUCUGGUGAACGCUGGAGUCCUCACCGUCCGAGAUGCUGGGAGCUGGUGGCUAGCUGUGCCUGGAGCUGGGAGAUUCAUCAAAUACUUUGUUAAAGGGCGCCAGGCUGUCCUUGGCAUGGUCCGGAAGGCAAAGUACCGGGAGCUGCUCCUAUCAGAGCUCCUGGGCCGGCGGGCGCCUGUCGUGGUGCGGCUUGGCCUCACCUACCAUGUGCACGACCUCAUUGGGGCCCAGCUCGUGGACUGCAUCUCUACCACUUCGGGAACCCUCCUCCGCCUGCCAGAGACAUGAAGAUUCUGCUCAUCAUUGCUCAGCUCCUCAGAGUGGGCCGGGAGGGGACUAGAAGAGCUGCAUGAUGGUGGCUGAGACAGGGUCACCUUGGGAAGGCUUGGGAGCCAGGAUGAGUGUUGGGCUCUCGUGUGUGCAAAAGG